CAAGCAAAGCUCUCCCCGCUAGAUCCAUGGAGCACCGACUUUGGACGAUCUGCCCACAUCUCCGUGCAUCUUUCGGUGAGAACCACGUCGCCAUCAUGCUACGACGGAGCAGCUUACAGCAUCGGCAGAUGGCGAUUUCAUUCCGUGCUCCGAGCGAGACGAAGCAGAAGCUGAUUUCAGGUCUGGACAAUAAUGCUGCCAGCAUCAUUGCCAAUUGCCCUCCACGCAUCACACAGAGGCCGGUGAAUAGGCGAUCGAGACGAAUAUAUAACGCCCGUCCACCGCGCCACAUACAAAUCUUCCCAAUCUCUGCGCCAUAACAGCUUGGACUACGCUAAAGCUUCGUGCAGCAGCCGAGGUUUCUUCACCAGGUCCUCCCAAGAACUGCUACGCGUCUCUGCUCCUUUCCUAAUCGGCAUACUCGGGGUAAAUGCACUCCAUCUCUCCUAGCUAUACUGUUUUUACUUCCGCCGUUGCGCAUCCUUAUCCUUACAGAGAGAGAGAGAGAGAGAGAGAGAGAGAGAGAGAGAGAGAGAGAGAGAGAAGUUGCUCAAAUCGCCACAGCACAGACGUAAUAGGAACCACUUUUUAAGCUUGAUCUUCUCUGUGGCGUGAAGAAAAUGGACCGGAAACCCUCAAGUUGCUACCAUACCAUGUGAGUCGUCAUUUCCUUUUAUGGUACAUGCAGGAGGAUGUGUGAGCUAAGUGUGAGCAAGAUGGUGCAUCCCCCAGCUGGAAAUCAUGAAGGGUCAGACAUGAGUGAUGUCAGAGGUAUUUUUAGUAACAUGCUGGUGUAUUUCUAACAUCAGGUAUUUUUAGAGGAAACGAGAAAGGAUUUUUCAACGAUGCCUUUGUUGACACCUCACUUGCUGCAGUCCAGACUUCAAAGAACUACUGGCUGUCGUGCUCAAUCUGAAUAAGCUGCCUGUCCGCAUUCAUGUGACUGACAGCUAGUGCUGUUACCAGACACCUGCAUUUGCCUUGCCCUUCAGCCGAUGCUCAUUCAUGUAGCAACAAUUAAUGACAGUAUACAAACACGCAAUAUCUGUAUAUCCGU